rnacentral:lncRNA from 1 species
GGGUGUUUACAGCACCAAAACCCCAAAUGUCCCAAUUCCCCAAAUCCUGCUGGGCCUGGGCGCCUCCAGCUUCGAGUUCAGGCUGGAUCCCAGUGCUGACCCCGAACUGGCUCUGGUAGAGACAUCGAAAUUCCCAGGAAUUGGGGAAUUUCCAAUGUUGUGAUCCCACAAACCCCGAAUCUCCUGACUCCCACAACACCAACCCCAAAGUUCUCAGGAAUUGGGCAAUUCCCAAUGUCAGAUUUCCCACAAAACCCCGAAUCUCCACAGCACCGAACCCCAGGGCUCCCAUUUCUUGCACCGCCAGCUGUGUUUGGGGUGUUUUGGGUGUUGUGUCCCAUUUCCCCAAUCCCAAUCCCUGUUUGGGGUGUUGUGUCCCAUUUCCCCAAUCCCAGUCCCUGUUUGGGGUGUUUUGGGGUGUUGUGUCCCAUUUCCCUGAUCCCAGUCCCUGUUCUGGGGUGUUUUGGGGUGUUUUGGGUGUUGUGUCCCGUUUCCCCAUCCCAGUCCCUGUUUUGGGUGUUGUGUCCCAUUUCCCCAUCCCAGUCCCUGUUUUGGGGUGUUUUGGGGUGUUUUGGGGUGUUGUGUCCCAUUUCCCCACCCCAGUCCCUGUUUUUGGGGUGUUUUGGGUGUUGUGUCCCAUUUCCCCCAUCCCAGUCCCUGUGUUUGGGGUGUUUUGGGGUGUUUUUGGGUGUUGUGUCCCAUUUCCCCGACCCCAAUCUCUGUUUUUGGGGUGUUUUGGGUGUUGUGUCCCGUUUCCCCAUCCCAGUCCCUGUUUUUGGGGUGUUUUGGGGUGUUGUGUCCCGUUUCCCCAUCCCAGUCCCUGUGUUUGGGGUGUUUUGGGGUGUUUUUGGGG